UGGGGUUGGUAGGCGGUCAUCCGUGGAUCACAAGCGGAGGGGAAGCUAGGUCGAUGACUGAUCUGACUUGAGAGAUUAGGAGGAAGCAACUUGGUUUAAUAGUAG